UACGUAGGGGGCAAGCGUUGUCCGGAUUUAUUGGGCGUAAAGAGCUCGUAGGUGGUUCGUUAAGUCGGAUGUGAAAUCUCCAGGCUCAACCUGGAGGGGUCAUUCGAUACUGCCGUGACUAGAGGUCGGUAGGGGAGUGUGGAAUUCCUGGUGGAGCGGUGAAAUGCGCAGAUAUCAGGAGGAACACCCGUAGCGAAGGCGGCACUCUGGGCCGAUACUGACACUGAGGAGCGAAAGCGUGGGGAGAGAACAGG
rnacentral:rRNA from 1 species